rnacentral:rRNA from 1 species
UACGGAGGGUGCGAGCGUUGUCCGGAAUCACUGGGCGUAAAGGGCGCGUAGGUGGCCUGUGGAAGUCUGCGGUGAAAGCCCGGCGCUCAACGCCGGGUCGGCCGUGGAUACUCUCGGGCUUGAGCUUACUAGAGGCAGAUGGAAUUCCGGGUGUAGCGGUGGAAUGCGUAGAGAUCCGGAAGAACACCGGUGGCGAAGGCGGCUCACUGGACCGGCAUUGGCGCUGAGGUGCGAAAGCGUGGGGAGCAAACAGG